GGUUAAGCGAAUGAAGCGUACACGGUGGAUGCCUAGGCAGUCAGAGGCGAUGAAGGACGUGCUAAUCUGCGAAAAGCGUCGGUAAGCUGAUAUGAAGCGUUAUAGCCGGCGAUGUCCGAAUGGGGAAACCCAGUGCAUUAAUGCACUAUCGUUUGAUGAAUUCAUAGUCAAACGAGGCGAACCGGGGGAACUGAAACAUCUCAGUACCCCGAGGAAAAGAAAUCAACCGAGAUUCCCCUAGUAGCGGCGAGCGAACGGGGAGUAGCCCAGAGUCAGCAUCGAUAUUAGCAUCAGGAGAAGGGUCUGGAAAGGCCAGCCAUAAAGGGUGAUAGCCCCGUAUCCGAAGGUGUUAGUAUCGUGAGCUCGAAGAGUAGGGCGGGACACGUGUUAUCCUGUCUGAAUAAGGGGGGACCAUCCUCCAAGGCUAAAUACUCCUGACUGACCGAUAGUGAACCAGUACCGUGAGGGAAAGGCGAAAAGAACCCCGGCGAGGGGAGUGAAAGAGAACCUGAAACCGUGUACGUACAAGCAGUGGGAGCCCCACCACCAAAGUAUUUCUGCAAGCGGUUUGACGGUUGGCGGCGCACAGCGACGCCCAACCCAUCCAAUCAAGCAGGGUGAAUACCAUCGAAUCAAGGCGCGAGGUUCAGGCCAAAUCAGGUAAAACCUGAAUCCGGUUGAAUCAAGCAAAUUGACGAAGAUGAGAGGGAUUGCCGAAGGCAAUCGCCGCAAAGUACGGAGUACUUUGGGGUGGGGUGACUGCGUACCUUUUGUAUAAUGGGUCAGCGACUUAUAUUCUGUAGCAAGGUUAACCGCAUAGGGGAGCCGUAGGGAAACCGAGUCUUAACUGGGCGUCAAGUUGCAGGGUAUAGACCCGAAACCCGGUGAUCUAGCCAUGGGCAGGUUGAAGGUUGGGUAACACUAACUGGAGGGCCGAACCGACUAAUGUUGAAAAAUUAGCGGAUGACUUGUGGCUGGUGUCAACGAUCACUGAAAACUGAUCCACUUUUUAUCUAAAUACGAUCAAUCAAAAUUGAUCCACUGUUUUACUCGGUUAUUGCUCCUGAUCGCCGCUUAUCUUUCAAUCGAUAGCUUUCACCGCUUAAUUGCAGUACAUGCGAAUGAUGAAGUAAACGAUCAAGCAUAGCGGCGGUUAAUGUUGCGUCAUCAGCAAAAGUACUAGGCCAUUGCCCAAAUGAUAAGUUACUCGUCAAUAUGACACUACCAUGCUCAUAACGCUUGGCAAUCACAUUAAAAAAUAGGUUUGCUUCCUCUCGCCCAAACGGCAGGUAUCCAAUCUCAUCUAUGAUCAACAACUUCGGAGCCAUCACCGAACGUGAUAGAUAUUGUUUGAGCUUAUUUUGUCGUUUGGCAGUUGAGAGUUGCAACAUCAGUUCAGCUGCUGUUGUAAAGCGAGUUUUCUUCUUGGCCUGUACUGCUUUUAACCCUAAUCCAAUAGCUAAAUGCGUUUUACCUACACCACUUGGGCCAAGCAAUACGACAUUUUCAUUACGUUCAAUAAAUGUUAAUGCGCUUAAUUCCUGUAUUUGUUGCUUAGGUACACUCGUUGCAAACUUAAAAUCGAACGUAUUAAGUUCUUUGUGUGCUGGGAAUCCUGCCAUCCGACUCAAGAGAUUACGAGUUCGUUCAUCUCGUUGUUGUUGCUCACAUUUUAAUAGGGACAGUAAAAACUCUCCGUAGCUUUUGUCUUGGGCAAUGCAUUGUUCGGCAAGUGAUGACCAACGAGUCGGAACAGAAUUUAAUUUCAAUGACUCACAUAGGUGCUCAAUUUGUUCAUGCAAUAACAUAUUCACCUCCCAGCAAUGCUUCAUAUACGCUGAUUGAGUGUUGCAAAUUGACAGAUUCAAGGGGCGGUACGAUACGAAUAUUAAGCGUAUUAGUCUGCGGGAUAGAUUGGCAAACCCUUGCUGGUAAGGGAAGAAGAUACUUAACUUCCUUAGCUAAUCUGUCUGCUGGCUUCUCUAAAGUUGUUCCAUGAAUCCGCUGAUGGGCAACGCGUUGUAACCAUGGACCCACUUUUGCAUUGGCUAUCUCGAUAUCCAGUUCAAGAUUAUGAGCACGAAGGUCGGUAUUUAAUGGCACGAUAAAGCUAUUUUUUAAAUAGUGGUUAAAGCGCUCUACUUUCCCUUUCGUUUUUGCCCUGUAGGGCUUGCAAGCCUUCAAUUUAAACCCGUAAUCUUUCGACAUUUGAAGCAUUUCGAGAUGCAAUUUAUGUUCACCUUCUGCAUAAGCAUCCCGUUCGAUGAUUAGGGCUUUUGCGUUAUCACACAAUACUUCCUGUGGCACACCACCAAAAUAGUCGAAAGCUUCUUUUAAACCUUGUUGCCAGGAUUCUGCUCGCUCAUUAUCAAAGAAUUUUACAUAACUCGCACGCGAGUAGCCUAGCGUUGCAACAAACGCUUUUAGUGAUUGUUUCCCUCGCCGGAUGGUGGUGAAGUCGAUUUGCAUUUGUUGACCUGGCUGUGUUUCAAAACGGACGACAGCUUCGGGAACAAUGCCUGGUUUAAAUUGACAAACAAAUCGGCGUAACUGAGCAAUACCUCCUUGAUAGCCUCUUUCAGCUACCUCAUCAAAUAAGACUGUUGCAGGUAUCCAAUCAGGUUUAGCCAAUUCAAUUCGCUGAAGCAAAUAAGGUUUAAAAGGUGCCAGUUUACUCGGUUGUUGACUUCUUUUAGCAUAAGUUGGCAUUGCCUGUUGUUGUAAAUGAUGUUUUACGGUGUUACGGGAAAUGCCCAAUUCACGGGCAAUUUUUCGAAGGCUUUGCCCUUGUGCAAAGCGAACAUGAAUAUCCACAAAUAUCUCCUUGGUUAACAUAAAUUACCCGUACAAAAAUGUACGAAUAAUACCAAGUGGAUCAGUUUUAGAUGAUCGUUAGUGGAUCAGUUUUGCAUGAUCGGUGACACUGGGGGUGAAAGGCCAAUCAAACCGGGAGAUAGCUGGUUCUCCCCGAAAGCUAUUUAGGUAGCGCCUCGUGAACUCAUCUUCGGGGGUAGAGCACUGUUUCGGCUAGGGGGUCAUCCCGACUUACCAACCCGAUGCAAACUCCGAAUACCGAAGAAUGUAAUCACGGGAGACACACGGCGGGUGCUAACGUCCGUCGUGAAGAGGGAAACAACCCAGACCGCCAGCUAAGGUCCCCAAGUCAUGGUUAAGUGGGAAACGAAGUGGGAAGGCUUAGACAGCCAGGAUGUUGGCUUAGAAGCAGCCAUCAUUUAAAGAAAGCGUAAUAGCUCACUGGUCGAGUCGGCCUGCGCGGAAGAUGUAACGGGGCUAAACCAUGCACCGAAGCUGCGGCAGCAACAGCAAUGUUGUUGGGUAGGGGAGCGUUCUGUAAGCCGUUGAAGGUGGAUUGAGAGGUCUGCUGGAGGUAUCAGAAGUGCGAAUGCUGACAUAAGUAACGAUAAAGCGGGUGAAAAACCCGCUCGCCGAAAGACCAAGGGUUCCUGUCCAACGUUAAUCGGGGCAGGGUAAGUCGACCCCUAAGGCGAGGCUGAAAAGCAUAGUCGAUGGGAAACGGGUUAAUAUUCCCGUACUAAGGGUUACUGCGAAGUGGGGACGGAGAAGGCUAGGCUAUCCGGGCGACGGUUGUCCCGGUUUAAGCGUGUAGGUGGGUCGUGCAGGCAAAUCCGUACGACUAUAACACUGAGGCGUGAUGACGAGCCACCAAGGUGGUGAAGUAGUUGAUACCCAGCUUCCAGGAAAAGCCGCUAAGCGAUAGGUAAUCAUUAAUCGUACCCCAAACCGACACAGGUGGUUAGGUAGAGAAUACUCAGGCGCUUGAGAGAACUCGGGUGAAGGAACUAGGCAAAAUGGUGCCGUAACUUCGGGAGAAGGCACGCUGGUGUUGGGUGAAAUGGUUAACCCAUGGAGCUGAAGCCAGUCGCAGAUACCAGCUGGCUGCAACUGUUUAUUAAAAACACAGCACUGUGCAAACACGAAAGUGGACGUAUACGGUGUGACGCCUGCCCGGUGCUGGAAGGUUAAUUGAUGGGGUAAGCCGUAAGGCGAAGCUCUUGAUCGAAGCCCCAGUAAACGGCGGCCGUAACUAUAACGGUCCUAAGGUAGCGAAAUUCCUUGUCGGGUAAGUUCCGACCUGCACGAAUGGCGUAAUGAUGGCCAGGCUGUCUCCACCCGAGACUCAGUGAAAUUGAACUCGCUGUGAAGAUGCAGUGUACCCGCGGCAAGACGGAAAGACCCCGUGAACCUUUACUAUAGCUUGACACUGAACAUUGAGCCUUGAUGUGUAGGAUAGGUGGGAGGCUAGGAAGUGUGGACGCCAGUCUGCAUGGAGCCAACGUUGAAAUACCACCCUUUAAUGUUUGAUGUUCAUGGUUAGGAAUCUCAAUCAAUACAGUAAGGCAUUAAUGGAGGUGUUUUGAACUCAAUAUUUCUAUUAAAUUCUGACAGUUUUCUCGUUGAUUAACCAUGAGAACAGUAAUUCGGUUAAAUUAUCAUCUAAAAGCCUAAUAAUAGGCACACUGCUCCUAGGCUGCGGUUUGUAACCAUCGUUUUUUGACCAUUUUAUCCCGCCUUUCUGACAGUAAAGUGACGGCGUGUAUUCCUUUUUCCGCACUCAUAAACCGCAAUCGGUUUCCACAUAAAAUACAUUGGUACGGGUCAGUAUUUAAAAAACCUUUGAUAAGGGCUCCAAACCCAGGUUUUUCAGGCACAUUAGGAGAUAUCAUGUCUAACGCCUCAUACACCUUCGGUAAUAAGCACCCGCGUUUGCGAUUGGCUAAAAAACCGUAAUAACGGAUCAUCUUAAAAUGUCGCGCAGGGAUAUGACUGACAUAACGCCGUAUCAUUUCUUCUUGGGAUAAGGUCUGUCGUCUGUAUUGUUGGCUGUGGUGGUCAUAGUAAUGAUGAACCACGGUGCCGCCGCUGUAGUGUUUCAAUUGAGAAGCGGAGAUAGGGGGACGUUUAAGAUAACGGCCCAGAUAUUUCACAUUAUGCCAGGCCCCGCGUGUCUUUUUGGCAAAAUGUACUUUCCAAUAACGUUGAAACUGGGCAUUGAGGUAACGACACCAGGUCUGAUAAUUGCGAAUGUGCCCGAAGCCAGGCAAUUUAUUGGGUUGUAACUGAAAAUAGUUAUCCCUAAGGAGUCGAAUGACCGCACUGCGCCAGACCUUUUCAACGUCUUUCUUUUUAAAGAAAAUCGGUUUCCAGGUGUCAUAUUGAGUGAGUCCCCCACGCGUGACGGAUAAAUGAAUAUGCGGAUGUUGAUUGAGUUGGCGACCGUAAGUAUGCAGCGCACAAAAAAUGCCAAUUUCGAGGCCUUGGCGCUUGGCGUGUUUGAGCAUGGCGCGGGUUGCACAGCGAAAGAGUUGGUUGAGCAAGCACCAGUUAUUGUUAAAAAAAGGCCAAAGCAGGUGAGGCAUAGUGAGGGUAAUAUGUUGCCAUUCGCAAUCCGGCAAAAUAUGGCGCUGCUGGGCAAUCCACUGUUCGGUGCCUUUGAGGCCACACGCACUGCAGGCUUUGGAUUUACAGGUUUGACAAAAGAAGCGUGAAUGAGAGCAUUCAGGUGAAGAACAGCAAUAACGGCGAACGCCCAUAGCGCAGGUGCUGCAGGCGAGCAUCUUUUCGACAGAGAGUAGUUGCCAUUCAUCCACGUGAUUAUUUUCGAUGAAAAGGUUCCAUCCGUCAUCGUAUUGAAAUAGCAGUUUUGCAGGUCUGGGGAUGUACAUAGAGCAGAGUAUAAAAGACGAGAAGGGAAUUGCCUAGAAAUAGAGCGCCUUUGCCGCGAUGCUCACGCCAAAGGCGUGCUUAUGUUCUAACUUAGGCCCGUUAUCCGGGCUGAGGACAGUGUCUGGUGGGUAGUUUGACUGGGGCGGUCUCCUCCCAAAGUGUAACGGAGGAGCACGAAGGUUGGCUAAUCACGGUCGGACAUCGUGAGGUUAGUGCAAAGGCAUAAGCCAGCUUGACUGCGAGCGUGACGGCGCGAGCAGGUACGAAAGUAGGUCUUAGUGAUCCGGUGGUUCUGAAUGGAAGGGCCAUCGCUCAACGGAUAAAAGGUACUCCGGGGAUAACAGGCUGAUACCGCCCAAGAGUUCAUAUCGACGGCGGUGUUUGGCACCUCGAUGUCGGCUCAUCACAUCCUGGGGCUGAAGUAGGUCCCAAGGGUAUGGCUGUUCGCCAUUUAAAGUGGUACGCGAGCUGGGUUUAGAACGUCGUGAGACAGUUCGGUCCCUAUCUGUCGUGGGCGAAGGAAGAUUGAGGGGGGCUGCUCCUAGUACGAGAGGACCGGAGUGGACGCACCACUGGUGUACAGGUUGUCAUGCCAAUGGCAUCGCCUGGUAGCUAAGUGCGGAAGAGAUAACCGCUGAAAGCAUCUAAGCGGGAAACUUGCCUCAAGAUGAGUCUUCCCUGACAGUAAUGUCCUAUAAGGGGUGUUCGAGACGAGGACGUAGAUAGGCUGGGUGUGUAAGCGUAGCGAUACGUUGAGCUAACCAGUACUAAUGACCCGAGAGGCUUAACCUG
rnacentral:rRNA from 1 species